CCUACGGGUGGCAGCAGUGAGGAAUAUUGGUCAAUGGGAGAGAUCCUGAACCAGCCAAGCCGCGUGAGGGAAGACGGCCCUAUGGGUUGUAAACCUCUUUUGUCGGAGAACAAAACCCGGGACGUGUCCCGGACUGCGUGUAUCCGAAGAAAAAGCAUCGGCUAACUCCGUGCCAGCAGCCGCGGUAAUUCGGGGGAUGCGAGCGUUAUCCGGAUUUAUUGGGUUAAAGGGGUGGGUAGGCGGUCCGUUAAGGCAGCGGAAAAAUUGCGGGGCUCAACCGCGUCGAGCCGUUGAAACUGGGAUGCUUGAGUUGGCGAGAGGUACGCGGAAUGCGCGGUGUAGCGGUGAAAUGCAUAGAUAUCGCGCGGAACUCCGAUGGCGAAGGCAGCGUACCGGCGCCAGACUGACGCUGAGGCACGAAAGCGUGGGGAUCGAACAGGAUUAGAUACCCCUGUAGUC
rnacentral:rRNA from 1 species